GGGACGAACGCUGGCGGCGUGCUUAACACAUGCAAGUCGAGCGGUAAGGCCUUUCGGGGUACACGAGCGGCGAACGGGUGAGUAACACGUGGGUGAUCUGCCCUGCACUCUGGGAUAAGCCUGGGAAACUGGGUCUAAAUACCGGAUAUGACCUGCUCUCGCAGUGGGGGGUGGUAGGAAAGUAUUUAUCGGUGCAAGGAUCGGGCCCGCGGCCUAUCAGUCGUUUGGUUGGGUGGGGUAAUGGACCUACCGAAGGCGACGACGGGUAGCCGACCUGAGAGGGUCGACCGGCCACACGUGGGACUGAGACACGGCCCAGACUCCUACGGGAGCAGCGAGGUGGGAAUAUUGACAACAAGUGGGACGAAAGCUGAUGCAGCGACGCCGCGUGAGGAUGAAGGCCGUUCGGUUACGUAACUCUUCAGCGAGGAGAA
rnacentral:rRNA from 1 species